GUUGUAGGAAAGAUUGGAUUGGGAAAUGCUUUGAGGAAGUAGCCAUUCUAUAAUACCAGGGUGUUCAAUUCUGAAUAUACGUUGUUGUGGUUGACAAGGUUUUGCUGAUGUGGUGUUGACCUGUGUUGUUGUGUGUUGACUCUCGCAAUGGUGGUGUAGCUGGAAACAGUGGGUCUCUCCCAUAUGAAGCUGAAGGUGCUUUCGAUGGUAGUGUAACUUGUGAUGGUGGUGUAACUGGGUUUUGUGGUUUUGAUAUCUUGGGUGGUGGUGGUUGUGGUGGCAGGGAUCGAUUGUCGUUCUUUGGAAGAGUAGGGCACAAAUUGGAAAUCUUGUUAUUUAAUGAAGUAACAUCAGCAAUGAUUUCACCAUGUGUUCCUAACUGGAUG